UUUAAAAAUCGAAAUAACAUAUACAUCGUACUGAAUAGUGAAAACUAUUUAUUUUUUUCGACGCGUAGCCAGAAGUUAAUUCUACGGCAAUCACUCAUGAGUUCGGCGAUCUCUACAAGCGAAUCCUCUUCAUCCAAUCAAAACAUAAGUAUUUUAGAGGCCACGAACGGACGUGAAUACUUUACGAAUAUCUUGGAGGAUUGCCAUUUGUUUACGUCCUACACGUAUUACCUAUAUAGUAUAUUUUCCCACUGUAACUGUUGCUCGAGCUGGAAUACUGAGUUUAAAGUCAAGACAAGCAGUGCUCAGUGGUGGCGCUAGAACUUUUUAACUCGAUAUCGAGUGAGGCAUAUAUAUCAUAUGAAGCCUUAUUAUACGGAUGUUGUGGACUAUUGACAAAUUUAUUUACGGAGUCAGAAUCAGUACUGGAUAAUGAAGAAAAAUGCAUACAUAAUAAUAU